GUAGUCGUGGCCGAGUGGUUAAGGUGAUGGACUAGAAAUCCACUGGGUUCUCCCCGCGCAGGUUCAAAUCCUGUUGACUACA